rnacentral:rRNA from 1 species
CCACCGGAAAAAGAAGAGUGGCGAACGGGUGAGUAACACGUGGGUAACCUGCCCAUCAGAAGGGGAUAACACUUGGAAACAGGUGCUAAUACCGUAUAACAAUCGAAACCGCAUGGUUUUGAUUUGAAAGGCGCUUUCGGGUGUCGCUGAUGGAUGGACCCGCGGUGCAUUAGCUAGUUGGUGAGGUAACGGCUCACCAAGGCCACGAUGCAUAGCCGACCUGAGAGGGUGAUCGGCCACAUUGGGACUGAGACACGGCCCAAACUCCUACGGGAGGCAGCAGUAGGGAAUCUUCGGCAAUGGACGAAAGUCUGACCGAGCAACGCCGCGUGAGUGAAGAAGGUUUUCGGAUCGUAAAACUCUGUUGUUAGAGAAGAACAAGGAUGAGAGUAACUGUUCAUCCCUUGACGGUAUCUAACCAGAAAGCCACGGCUAACUACGUGCCAGCAGCCGCGGUAAUACGUAGGUGGCAAGCGUUGUCCGGAUUUAUUGGGCGUAAAGCGAGCGCAGGCGGUUUCUUAAGUCUGAUGUGAAAGCCCCCGGCUCAACCGGGGAGGGUCAUUGGAAACUGGGAGACUUGAGUGCAGAAGAGGAGAGUGGAAUUCCAUGUGUAGCGGUGAAAUGCGUAGAUAUAUGGAGGAACACCAGUGGCGAAGGCGGCUCUCUGGUCUGUAACUGACGCUGAGGCUCGAAAGCGUGGGGAGCAAACAGGAUUAGAUACCCUGGUAGUCCACGCCGUAAACGAUGAGUGCUAAGUGUUGGAGGGUUUCCGCCCUUCAGUGCUGCAGCUAACGCAUUAAGCACUCCGCCUGGGGAGUACGACCGCAAGGUUGAAACUCAAAGGAAUUGACGGGGGCCCGCACAAGCGGUGGAGCAUGUGGUUUAAUUCGAAGCAACGCGAAGAACCUUACCAGGUCUUGACAUCCUUUGACCACUCUAGAGAUAGAGCUUCCCCUUCGGGGGCAAAGUGACAGGUGGUGCAUGGUUGUCGUCAGCUCGUGUCGUGAGAUGUUGGGUUAAGUCCCGCAACGAGCGCAACCCUUAUUGUUAGUUGCCAUCAUUCAGUUGGGCACUCUAGCAAGACUGCCGGUGACAAACCGGAGGAAGGUGGGGAUGACGUCAAAUCAUCAUGCCCCUUAUGACCUGGGCUACACACGUGCUACAAUGGGAAGUACAACGAGUCGCGAAGUCGCGAGGCUAAGCUAAUCUCUUAAAGCUUCUCUCAGUUCGGAUUGUAGGCUGCAACUCGCCUACAUGAAGCCGGAAUCGCUAGUAAUCGCGGAUCAGCACGCCGCGGUGAAUACGUUCCCGGGCCUUGU